rnacentral:rRNA from 1 species
AGUGAACGCUGGCGGUAGGCCUAACACAUGCAAGUCGAACGGCAGCACAGGAGAGCUUGCUCUCUGGGUGGCGAGUGGCGGACGGGUGAGGAAUACAUCGGAAUCUACCUUUUCGUGGGGGAUAACGUAGGGAAACUUACGCUAAUACCGCAUACGACCUACGGGUGAAAGUGGGGGACCGCAAGGCCUCACGCGAUUAGAUGAGCCGAUGUCCGAUUAGCUAGUUGGCGGGGUAAUGGCCCACCAAGGCGACGAUCGGUAGCUGGUCUGAGAGGAUGAUCAGCCACACUGGAACUGAGACACGGGCCAGACUCCUACGGGAGGCAGCAGUGGGGAAUAUUGGACAACGGGCGCAAGCCUGAUCCAGCCAUACCGCGUGGGUGAAGAAGGCCUUCGGGUUGUAAAGCCCUUUUGCUGGGAAAGAAAUCCUAUCGGUUAAUAACCGGUGGGGAUGACGGUACCCAAAGAAUAAGCACCGGCUAACUUCGUGCCAGCCGCCGCCGUAAGAC